rnacentral:tRNA from 1 species
GGGACUGGGGCUCAGUGGUAGAGCGCUCACCUGCCACAUGUGAGGCACUGGGUUCAAUCCUCAGGAUCACA